AAGAUGUUUAAAUGUGAAUAUUAAGAUCCUGGUGAAUGUAAACGGAUAGAGGUAACAACUAAUUGUUUUAUUUGUUCAUUUAACUGUUUUUAAAAGCAUAGCCCAGUAGCUUGUACAUGUAAGAUACAAACAUGUCAUUUCAUCUGUCUAAGUACAAUGUUGUUGUUUUUCUCAAUAUUGCACUUCUCAAGAAUCAGUGAUACUACAUUUCCAUGCCCGUUCCUGAUUUUAUGCAGUACUGUAUGAAUGGGACUUUUAUUUUGGUCUGGCGCUGUGACGUCAUAAAGCGGCGCCGCGCUCCGUAUCUGUUGUGAUUCACCUCAAGAAAGAGUCAUCUGAGAUCCAGCUUAUUGGCACAUUGACGCCCUGAAAAACUACAGUGAUUCAGUGCCUUAGUCAGUCUUGAUGACCGCAGCGUGACACAGUACCAUCUCAAUCAAGAACCUGAGUUUCCCACAGCCGUAACUGGAUAUUAUA